rnacentral:lncRNA from 1 species
UUUUUUUUUAUUGCUAGUAGCCCUCUACUAGCAAGCCUCAGGGCCAGCUGGCAAAGGGAAAACCACUGGAAGGGUCCAUUGGUCUCCUUAAGAAACAGGGCCACAUUGGGACUCAGCAUCCAUCUCUGUUGUAGUUAGGUUAGCAGUUCAGAGGCAGCAAGAUUUGCACCUGCCUUGACUCAGGGGAGUCUGUUUUGUUAGCUUUUGCAUUGCUGUUGUUACCUUUUAUGGUUGAGAUAUGAGGUAUCUCCCAAAAAGCUCAUGUGUGAGACAGUGCAAGAACAUUCAGAGGUGAUUAGAUUAUGAGAGUCAAAACCUACUCAAUGGAUUAAUCCACUGAUGGGGAUUAACUGAGUGGUAACUGUAGGCAGGUAGGGUGUGGCUAGAGGAGAUAGGUCACUGGGGGCAUGCUUUUGGGUUUAUAUUUUGUACCCAGUGAGCAGAGCUCUCUGAUUCCUGCUUUCUGAUUGCCACAUUCUGAGUUGCUUUCUCCCGUCAUACUCUUCCACCAUGAUGUUCCGCCUCACCUUAGACCCAGAGCAGUGGAGUUGGCCAUCCAUAGAUGGAGGCCUCUGAAGAUUUUUCCUCCUCUACACUGUUCUUGUCAGGUCUCUUGUUCACAGUGACUAAAAAAAAGUUGACUAAACAAUACCCAACAAGAACAACUUAGAGGAGGAAAAAUUUCUUUGGGGCUAUGGUUUCAGAGGUCUCAGUUCAUAGACAGCCUGCUCCAUUGCUUUUAGUCCAAGAUGAGGCAGCACAUCUUGGGGGAAGGGCCCAGAGGAGGAAAGCUGCCCAGCUCAUGGUACGGUCAGCAAGAAGAGAGAAAGGAGGGGGCAAGAGAAGGGGGCACAGGGAAGAUGCACCCUUUUAGGGCACUCCCUAGCGAUCCGCCUCCAGCCAUGCCCCUCUUGUCUAUAGUUACCACCCAGCCAUUCAAACUGGAAUGGACUGAUUAGGUUGCAGUUCUCAUGAUACAAUCAUUUUACUUCUGAAUAUUCCUGCAUUAACAGGAGCUUUGGGGGACACCUCAUGGCCAAACUACAAGAAUCCAUGCUGUUGGCCCUACUUGGAACUUCCCUCCAUUUCUGUGGCCAUUGCUACUAGUUCUAGGUGGCCAGUCAUGAAGACCAACUAACAUUGGCUGGUUGAGCCAGCUUGUCUACUUGGUUGUUCUCUUCUAUGAUGGUGCUUCCUGGGGAGGAGCAUUAAUGUGUGAGACAAAAAUAACACUUUGUGCCCACUCCCCUGUGUCUAUCCACAAUCCUCUACACCGUCUUGCUCAUUUUCUGGCCAAUCGACCAGGCUAUGAACCACUGUUCAGGAAUCUGUAUACAUUCUCACAUCAGACUGCCUUUCUUUCCAGUGUACCUACUAGUUGCAACACUUGAGUUUGCCCACUAGAAGAAUUUUCCAUCUUCACUAUCUUAUGGGCCGCCUCUGGUGAGGCUGUAAGGAAGUUGUAAUAACUGAAGGAGAGAGGAUUGGGUAGGCAGAAUCUCAGAUCAUAGCACAGUCCAAGGAAGGGUUAACCAGGCUGUUGGGAAAGUCAGAGCUACCCAUUGGAGCAGCUCCUCAUUUCCAGAAUAGGUCUGGACAAACAGCCUGACUCUGCUCAGUCUAUGACUGAGAACAGCCCAAGAGCGAAUACAAUGGGGACUCCUGAGUGGCAGCAAGCUGAGCUGGUUGUCAUCAAUUAUGUUCCCCCUAGCAGGAGAUCUAAGGGGUACAUUUUCGUGGCUGCCAUAUGGCUUUAUCCUGAAACCACAAAGUGAUCACGAUGAACUCCAUUUAAGUUUUACUAUUUAGGGGAUGAGCUAGAAAAAUGCCUCUUGUGGUUAAUUAUGGAACACCAGCCUGUCUGGGCUUGCUUUCUUGGGAUUCAAAGACAGGGCGGCAAAGCCUCCACCUGAGCUGUAGUUUCUUUUAGUGUUUUUUUCUUCAUGCCUUAUUUACACAAUUUAAACCAACUAUAGCCAAGGCAGGCAUAUUAUAUCAGCAGUUAGUGACUAUGGCCCUUGUUCUCAGACAGCCCAAACCUCCAGUUACCUAAAGGGAUAAUUUGAAUUGUAUUAUGUGGGCUAGAAUAUUUACUUUGUAUGGUAACAAAGGCCCCCUGCUGGUUAUUGGUUUCUGCCAACUUUUGAAGAGCUUGGCUGAACCAAGUGAGUACAUUCUUACACUUUUCCCUCGUGGGAUUGUCAGGACCCAUCAGGUCCCAUUGCCAUCAGUGUUCGUGCUGCAUUCCUGGGGGUCUCCUCUGCCGCCUGUUUCCCUCUGCAGCCUCCAAACUUGUCCUCCUGGAGAAUGUCAGUUCCCUACAAGGAAACAUCUUGAACCCCCUUCUGGCUGAGGCUGCCAGCUGCUGAGUUACUAACAAACUUUCUGCUUACCAUUUCUUUGCAGCCUGUUCUUCCUUAUUUUGCCUUUUCUGUCAGUUCCUAUAGAGCUCUGUGAGGAUCUUCUUUCUAUGAGUUACAGAUUUUCAAGCCCACUGGUGUCCCACUGCCUGGGUUCAAGUCCCAGCUUCUACUACUUAUUUGAUACAAGGAAUUUGAAUAUGGAUUGGUUAUCAUUAGGUAGUGAAUUGUUGGUCAUUUGGUUAAACAUAACAAUGUCAUGGCAAUUUUAAAGAAUGUCCUUACUCAUUAGAGAAGAAGUACUGAUGCCUGGGAUUUGCUUUGAAGUACUUUAGUUUAAAAAAAAAUGGCAGAGAGAGAGAGAGAGAGGAGAGAAAGAGAGGGAGAGAGGGGGAGAGAAGAGAGGAGAGAGAGAUAGAUAUGAAACAAGAGUGGCAGCAUGGUAAUAAAUGUUUAAGCUAGGUGACAGAUACAUUAUGUUAUAUGGUUAAUUCUAUUAUAUCCACCUUUGUGCAAGCUUAAAAAUUCUCAAAAUAAAAAAUUAUAAAAUAAAAACAGUCAUUUAGUUGGUUGGGGAAGCAUGGGGGGAAGAGUUAGCUGAUCAUAUGUGUGUUAUUGGAAAAAAAUAAAGAGUUUGCCUUGAGAACCUAGGAGCUUUUGGGGGGACAUAAAUGUGGCACAGGAAGUAGGAACUUGGGUUACAAAUGGACUGUAGAUUUGGUGGUAAAAAUUAUUGCUUCUUCACCUGGAUUCUGCUGUACAGGAACUGGGGAUAACCCAUGUGCUCCUUUGUUAGCCUCCCACACUCAAAUUUUUACUCAAAAAUUAAGGCCCCUAGAAUAAAAGGUUAAUUUUACUUUAAUGGAUUGCUCCCAGGAGAAGAGUGGGGAGGGAGGGGGAGAGAGUUUUAUCUCAUUUUAUUUGAGGUGAAAUUGUCAUAAAAUGAACCAUUUUUAAAUGAAUAAUCCUGAAGCAGUUGGUACAUUCACAGUGGUGUACAACCACCUUCUCUGUCUAGUUCCAAACUCCUGGUAUAUCAAUUCCACACUUCCCAUUCCUUCCCCCUCCAUCAUUGCUGGACUUACCUAUUUUGGAUAUUUCAUAUAGCUCGAAUCAUACAAUUGGUGACCUUUCACGUCUGCCUUUUUUCACUCACCCUCAUGUUUUUGAAGUUCAUCCACAUUGUAUCACAUAUCAGUACUUCAAGGGAAGAUUUUUAAUCAUUGUUAUGUGGGUGAGGCUGCCUCUACUAGUGGACAGAAUGUCCUGAACCUUCUGUCUAGAAUGUUCCUUCCUAAGAGAAGAGAGUUUUAGUGAUAGUGCCUGGAAGACUUAAUCAUAUAUUAGAGCAACCUGGUUAAAAAUUCCUGGUUUUCCAGAGGAAGGAAAUCCUGACCUUUUGGAACCCUCUACAGGGAUGAGUCCAGAUCCAGGGGUUGCAAGGAGGGGAUGCACCACACACAUGUUCCCUCAGGAAGGAAGAAGUCUGUCCACAGCCAGCCCUGUCAGAACCUGAGCCACGGAGGGGUAGCUGCCUCACACCGAUUGUUACCUUUCCAGGUGGCCCUCAUCCAGAGCUCAAUUAUCAUGGGCUAUAAAGGCCCAAUUCACCAACUCAGAACAGCUUUAAAGUGUCACUCUAUCUUCAGAUCUCCCCUUGGGCUGCCUGAGGCCAACCUGCUUCCUCUUCAUCCUGUCUCUCCUGCAGGUGUUGAUGCCAUGCACACUCUGUCUUAGAGUCGGCUUCCCUGGGACCCCAGUCUGCUACCAGAUUGUGUGCAUGGUUAGAUGAGCUGUUCCAGCAGAGGAAUGAAGUCCUGAGCCUCCUCUAAGCUUAGGAGCCUCCGUCCUUUGCUUCUGAAGGGGUAGAAGAGGUCUCCUCUCCUAGUUUCAAAUGUUUCCCCCAGGUUCUUAAAGCAGCAGCCUUUUUUGCAUAUCUGUGCGGUGGCAAUUAAGGAUUUUUUCUUUAUUUCUAAGUCUUACUUUCCUGCAGAAACCAUCUUCCAUCUGAUCAAGAUGGGCAUUUUCAAGGAUUCUUUUGCCUUUUUAAAGUGCCAGAAUAAAAGUAAUAUCCUCAAAUUUUCGGUCAAACUGCUAUAACAGUUCCUCAUCUUUACAGUGCAUUUUCUAAAGGCAAGAAACUAUUUAUGAACUGGACAGGGAUGUGUCUCUCUUGAACUGAGGAGUGAGUGAGUAUUCAUGAUGUAAAAUAGCCUAGGAACAAAAAACAGGACACUGGUCUUCUUUUGGGGAGACCUUAGAAAAGGCAUAAGGGAUAAGGUGAGUGGCUCUGUUCAACAUCCUUGCCUCAAGCGGCAAGGCCUUUGAAGACCGAGCACAGCUCAGAGACAGGGAUCAUAGAAAGAAGACGCUGAGGAACUGUGCCUUGGAAGGGAGAGGGAAAUAUUACAUAUAGUUCACUGAACUUUGCAAAGUCAGUAAAAGGGGCACUUUACCUUGGUCAAAUAAAACAUGUAUUCUGUAUUGUUAAGAAGAAGCCUUUUCCCAUCUAAGUCCUGGCAGGCGGUGCUGUCCUGUCAGGAGAGGCUGACUGUGGUCUUCUCCAGGCGAAGGCUUGCUCAGGAUGCCCUGCUGUCCUUCCUGCUUCAUCUUCUACUGUCCCUUCUCUGCCCUGGUUCCGGGUGUUUCCUCUACUACGCAGGUCAAUACACAUUCACGCAUCACUUAACAAUGAGGAUAUGAUUUUGAUAAAUGUCAUCGUGUGAACAUCACAGAGUGUGAUUACAGAAACAAGAGGGUGCAACAGUACUAGGUGAC